rnacentral:rRNA from 1 species
CUUAAGCUGGAUUGGUUCUAGGAAAACACUCUGGAAAGAGUGGCCAUAGAAGGUGACAGCCCUGUAUCUGAAAGGGCCAUUCCAGUGAAGACGAGUAGGGCGGGGCACGUGAAACCCUGUCUGAACAUGGGGGGACCAUCCUCCAAGGCUAAAUACUACUGACCGACCGAUAGUGAACCAGUACCGUGAGGGAAAGGCGAAAAGAACCCCGGAGAGGGGAGUGAAAUAGAACCUGAAACCGUGUGCGUACAAGCAGUAGGAGCUCCGCAAGGAGUGACUGCGUACCUUUUGUAUAAUGGGUCAGCGACUUACUGUUCGUGGCAAGCUUAACCGUAUAGGGGAGGCGAAGGGAAACCGAGUCUGAUAAGGGCGCAUAGUCGCGGGCAGUAGACCCGAAACCGGGUGAUCUAGUCAUGCCCAGGGUGAAGGUGCGGUAACACGCACUGGAGGCCCGAACCCACUCCCGUUGCAAAGGUAGGGGAUGAGGUGUGAUUAGGAGUGAAAAGCUAAUCGAACCCGGAGAUAGCUGGUUCUCCUCGAAAGCUAUUUAGGUAGCGCCUCAUAUGUAUCCUCUCGGGGGUAGAGCACUGUUAUGGCUAGGGGGUCAUCGCGACUUACCAAACCAUUGCAAACUCCGAAUACCGAGACGGACUGUAUGGGAGACACACGGCGGGUGCUAACGUCCGUCGUGAAAAGGGAAACAACCCAGACCCACAGCUAAGGUCCCAAAUUCAGUGCUAAGUGGAAAACCAUGUGGAAAGGCACAGACAGCCAGGAGGU